GACUCUCAACAAUGGAUAUCUCGGCUCUCGCAUCGAUGAAGAACGUAGCAAAAUGCGAUACUUGGUGUGAAUUGCAGAAUCCCGUGAACCAUCGAGUCUUUGAACGCAAGUUGCGCCCCGAGCCUUCUGGCCGAGGGCACGUCUGCCUGGGUGUCA
rnacentral:rRNA from 1 species